UUGAAUCUAAGACUCUUCGAGGAUACUAGAGAAGUAUCUCUAAAAAAUAUGGAAUGAGACUCUUCAUAUUGAUGAAGCAACAUCUCAAACAGCAAAAAUAAGAUUCUCUGUAUCGAGUCGAAGCAGCAUCUUAUCUGAAAGAAUUAAGAUAUUCCAAACCUAAGGAAUGAUGUAUUAAUUGAAUCUAAGACUCUUCUAGGAUACUAGAGCAAUAUCUCUAAAAAAA
rnacentral:lncRNA from 1 species